rnacentral:rRNA from 1 species
AGCAGCCGCGGUAAUUCCAGCUCCAAUAGCGUAUAUUAAAGUUGUUGCAGUUAAAAAGCUCGUAGUUGAAUUUCGGGGUCAGUAGGUUGGUCAUGCCACUGGUAUGCACUGGUCUCACUGAUUCCUCCUUCCUGAUGAGCCGUAAUGCCAUUAAUUUGGUGUUGCGAGGAAUCUGGACUGUUACUUUGAAAAAAUUAGAGUGUUUAAAGCAAGCUAACGCUUGAAUACAUUAGCAUGGAAUAAUGAAAUAGGACGUUCGGUCUUAUUUUGUUGGUUUCUAAGAUUGACGUAAUGAUUAAUAGGGAUAGUUGGGGGCAUUAGUAUUCAAUUGUCAGAGGUGAAAUUCUUGGAUUUAUUGAAGACUAACUACUGCGAAAGCAUUUGCCAAGGAUGUUUUCAUUAAUCAAGAACGAAAGUUAGGGGAUCGAAGACGAUCAGAUACCGUCGUAGUCUUAACCAUAAACUAUGCCGACUAGGGAUCGGAUGAUGUUAAUUUUUUAAUGACUCA